rnacentral:misc_RNA from 1 species
UUACACUGGCCUUGCACCU